GGGAGCCACGUGGUCUGAAGUCAGAACACCUGGGUUCGAGAAUUAAAAUGUUACAGCAUUCUCCACAACAUUCUUACUCCUCUUCUGGAAAAGGUUACACGGAGAUUCCUGUGGCUUGCUGGCUCCAGACUGAGACUUCACAGCUCCCAGAACAGUGUAACCAGAGCACAGCUUCACAAUGGAAAUCCCCUCUUUCACCACACAACUCAGUGGUCGAGCCAUCUAAGAAUUCAACUUUCGUGCCAGU